GGAUGUAUAGCCCAGUGGUUAAUGUAUCAGACUGAGACACAGAAGGUUGCUGAUUCAAGUCCCAGUGCAGCCA